GAUGAACGCUGGCGGCGUGCCUAAUACAUGCAAGUCGAGCGAACGGACGAGAAGCUUGCCUCUCUGAUGUUAGCGGCGGACGGGUGAGUAACACGUGGAUAACCUACCUAUAAGACUGGGAUAACUUCGGGAAACCGGAGCUAAUACCGGAUAAUAUUUUGAACCGCAUGGUUCAAAAGUGAAAGACGGUCUUGCUGUCACUUAUAGAUGGAUCCGCGCUGCAUUAGCUAGUUGGUAAGGUAACGGCUUACCAAGGCAACGAUGCAUAGCCGACCUGAGAGGGUGAUCGGCCACACUGGAACUGAGACACGGUCCAGACUCCUACGGGAGGCAGCAGUAGGGAAUCUUCCGCAAUGGGCGAAAGCCUGACGGAGCAACGCCGCGUGAGUGAUGAAGGUCUUCGGAUCGUAAAACUCUGUUAUUAGGGAAGAACAUAUGUGUAAGUAACUGUGCACAUCUUGACGGUACCUAAUCAGAAAGCCACGGCUAACUACGUGCCAGCAGCCGCGGUAAUACGUAGGUGGCAAGCGUUAUCCGGAAUUAUUGGGCGUAAAGCGCGCGUAGGCGGUUUUUUAAGUCUGAUGUGAAAGCCCACGGCUCAACCGUGGAGGGUCAUUGGAAACUGGAAAACUUGAGUGCAGAAGAGGAAAGUGGAAUUCCAUGUGUAGCGGUGAAAUGCGCAGAGAUAUGGAGGAACACCAGUGGCGAAGGCGACUUUCUGGUCUGUAACUGACGCUGAUGUGCGAAAGCGUGGGGAUCAAACAGG
rnacentral:rRNA from 1 species